ensembl:lncRNA
CAGGCGGAGAACAUCGGAAGUUUGCGAAGUAAACGCUCAGUAGCCUAAACGCUGUCAUUUAACCAAGCCUUUGUCUGUUUGUUGGAUUUCACUGAUUUACGGAUAUACUGCCUGUUUCGGAUUCCGAUUUCCUGGCUAGCCCCGUUUGGAUUGUUCGCCUGGACUUCGUCUGUUUUUUCGGAUCUCGUCUUCAAUUUGAUCCUCAUCUUCCUGUUACUGCACCGCCCGUGCUUGUCUCCUCACGAGGUAACAUAACAGGUGGUGGCUAAAAUAGCCAAGCUGGCAAAGCAAACCAAGAUCAAAAAGACAGCCAGGGACCAGAUGUUACAAAACCUAAAGACUUCCCUUUCUCAGAACAGGACCCUAGCCACACAAUAUCACCACACCAGUUCUGAGGAUGAAUUUCCACAACGUCAUGGUAUUUUUUUCCACUCCUGAUAAUCACACCAGUUCUGAUGAUGCCACAAACAUGGGGAGCCCACAACAUCCUGGCAUUCUUGUCAUACAUCUCCCAGACACAUGGAGACCUCCUGCAGUAGGCCACAUAAUGUCCAAGAGCAUCCUGGGUUAAGCCUCCUCUGAAAGCAAUGACUGCCCUUAAAGUAAAUCUCUCUCCUUGGAGCAUCAGAUUGUAGGGAAAUUCACACAAAGAAAAUUCUGUGGAGGUGCUUCCCAGGUCUGUGUCAAUCAACAGAAGUUCUCCCAGACUGUAACUGUGAGAAACUUUCCCUGCACAGAGCACUUCUCCUGAGGUAGAGUCUGUCUUGAAUGCAAAGGGACACUGUGACAGACUUUGGAUUGGCCUGAGGCAGGAGGACUCCGGAAGGUUAAGGCCUUCUUCCACCGCGGUAUGAAAAUCAGCCAUGCCAGAAGCCUGUAGUAUAGUAACAAAUGGAAUUUCCUUUGUGACUUCUGUGCUGAGACUGCAAUACUGUGAGGAGCACUGUUGUGUGAAGGAAACACAUGCACGUGGUGUCAUUGACUUUUCAAUGAAAAUGGAGAUGUGGCACUGUGCAUCGAUUUGGAUAGCACCAGACUUCAAUUGGACAGCUUUGAAUAUUCCACUCAGCAGCUCUGCCCUCUGUAUGUAGACCUGUGCAUUCAGACUGUUUGUGGUGAUUGUUUUAACUAGCUGGAGGAGGUUGUUGGAGUCCUAACCG